AUUCUUCCUGUUUUUUGGGUGUCUUCAUUAGUAAGUGUGUGUGUAUGUGUGUGUGGUGCUCUCGACACAUAUACAGACACACACGCACACACACAUAUGUUCCUCCAACUUCAGGCAGCUUACUGCAGUUGCUCUCAUUUUUACACUUUCUCUGGGACUCACAGUUCCUCUGCAUGCCCGGCAUAUGUGCCACUUUUAUCAGUUAGUUCAUGUGGCCAAAUGGACGUCCUUCCCUGAUAUGGCAAGAAGUAACAGUGGGAUGUUGGUGUACUGGUGCUUAAGGGCCCAAACGGGUGACACCCUUAACUACCACCAUAGCCAUUUGUCCAGGAGCCUCUGCCCCUACCACACAGCCAAGAAAAAACUCCCAAUAUGGAUGACUAAAACCCCACCCACCACAUGAGAAACGCCGCCCUUCCUGGUCCCCAGAGCAUACAAAUCUAGCUUGUUCCCGGAUGGUGGCGUCAGAUGCCAAACUGACUAUUCCAGAAAACAGAGCUCCUACUGAUGACCACUUGCAGAAAGAUUAAUCAAUUUAUGUUUUUUUUUGCUUGAGUUGUUUGCAGCUGUCUUUUCAGUUUGUUAUUUUACGGGGCUACCAGGAUGGUACCCCAACCUUUCUUGGCUUCUCCAUGUCAUCUGCCUGCCAAGUUACUUUUUACACAUUUCAUAUCUUUUCUUGGCGUAUGGAAAGAUUUAUUAGGAGCAACCUAAUCAUGUUUUGGGAAAAACACAAAAUCAUGCAAAAUGCUCUUUCCUAAAAAUUUUUGUGUUACAUUACUUUUAUUAAUGUCUAUAAAACUGAGUAGGUGAAAUUUAUGUGCAUUUUGACUGUAUGUACUUACUUAUUACUCUUAUUGUACUUUACUGUUAAGAGCAGACUGAUAUUUUCAAUAUGUUUUGUACAAAUGAAUAAAACAUACAUUUUUAGCCUGAUAAAA